rnacentral:rRNA from 1 species
GUGUCAGCCGCCGCGGUAAUACGUAGGGUGCGAGCGUUGUUCGGAAUCACUGGGCGUAAAGGGAGCGUAGGCGGAGCCGUAAGUUAGGAGUGUAAUACCCGGGCUUAACCCGGGUCUUGCUUUUAAUACUGCGGUUCUUGAGUUUGGAAGAGGGAGAUGGAAUUCCAGGUGUAGCGGUGGAAUGCGUAGAUAUCUGGAAGAACACCAGUAGCGAAGGCGGUCUCCUGGUCCUAUACUGACGCUGAGGCUCGAAAGUUAGGGGAGCAAACAGGAUUAGAAACCCCCGUAGUCC